rnacentral:rRNA from 2 species
UAUUACAAUGAAGAGUUUGAUCCUGGCUCAGGAUGAACGCUAGCUACAGGCUUAACACAUGCAAGUCGAGGGGCAGCAUGGUCUUAGCUUGCUAAGGCCGAUGGCGACCGGCGCACGGGUGAGUAACACGUAUCCAACCUGCCGUCUACUCUUGGACAGCCUUCUGAAAGGAAGAUUAAUACAAGAUGGCAUCAUGAGUCCGCAUGUUCACAUGAUUAAAGGUAUUCCGGUAGACGAUGGGGAUGCGUUCCAUUAGAUAGUAGGCGGGGUAACGGCCCACCUAGUCUUCGAUGGAUAGGGGUUCUGAGAGGAAGGUCCCCCACAUUGGAACUGAGACACGGUCCAAACUCCUACGGGAGGCAGCAGUGAGGAAUAUUGGUCAAUGGGCGAGAGCCUGAACCAGCCAAGUAGCGUGAAGGAUGACUGCCCUAUGGGUUGUAAACUUCUUUUAUAAAGGAAUAAAGUCGGGUAUGCAUACCCGUUUGCAUGUACUUUAUGAAUAAGGAUCGGCUAACUCCGUGCCAGCAGCCGCGGUAAUACGGAGGAUCCGAGCGUUAUCCGGAUUUAUUGGGUUUAAAGGGAGCGUAGAUGGAUGUUUAAGUCAGUUGUGAAAGUUUGCGGCUCAACCGUAAAAUUGCAGUUGAUACUGGAUAUCUUGAGUGCAGUUGAGGCAGGCGGAAUUCGUGGUGUAGCGGUGAAAUGCUUAGAUAUCACGAAGAACUCCGAUUGCGAAGGCAGCCUGCUAAGCUGCAACUGACAUUGAGGCUCGAAAGUGUGGGUAUCAAACAGGAUUAGAUACCCUGGUAGUCCACACGGUAAACGAUGAAUACUCGCUGUUUGCGAUAUACGGCAAGCGGCCAAGCGAAAGCGUUAAGUAUUCCACCUGGGGAGUACGCCGGCAACGGUGAAACUCAAAGGAAUUGACGGGGGCCCGCACAAGCGGAGGAACAUGUGGUUUAAUUCGAUGAUACGCGAGGAACCUUACCCGGGCUUAAAUUGCAGAUGAAUUACGGUGAAAGCCGUAAGCCGCAAGGCAUCUGUGAAGGUGCUGCAUGGUUGUCGUCAGCUCGUGCCGUGAGGUGUCGGCUUAAGUGCCAUAACGAGCGCAACCCUUGUUGUCAGUUACUAACAGGUCAUGCUGAGGACUCUGACAAGACUGCCAUCGUAAGAUGUGAGGAAGGUGGGGAUGACGUCAAAUCAGCACGGCCCUUACGUCCGGGGCUACACACGUGUUACAAUGGGGGGUACAGAGGGCCGCUACCACGCGAGUGGAUGCCAAUCCCCAAAACCUCUCUCAGUUCGGACUGGAGUCUGCAACCCGACUCCACGAAGCUGGAUUCGCUAGUAAUCGCGCAUCAGCCACGGCGCGGUGAAUACGUUCCCGGGCCUUGUACACACCGCCCGUCAAGCCAUGGGAGCCGGGGGUGCCUGAAGUGCGUAACCGCGAGGAGCGCCCUAGGGUAAAACUGGUGACUGGGGCUAAGUCGUAACAAGGUAGCCGUACCGGAAGGUGCGGCUGGAACACCUCCUUUCU